rnacentral:misc_RNA from 1 species
GCGGCUCCUGUCCAGACCCUGACCCUCCCUCCCAAGGCUCAACCGUCCCCCAACAACCGCCAGCCUUGUACUGAUGUCGGCUGCGAGAGCCUGUGCUUAAGUAAGAAUCAGGCCUUAUUGGAGACAUUCAAGCAAAGGUUGGACAACUACUUUUCCAGAACAGAAAGGAAACUCAUGCAUCAGAAAAGGUGACUAAUAAAGGUACCAGAAGAAUAUGGCUGCACAAAUACCAGAAUCUGAUCAGAUAAA